GCGCCCAGGCUCCACCAGUCACAGGCUUCUGUCUCUUCUAGGAUAGCUCCAACCUCUGGGGCACAGUACAUUCUCUCUAUGGCAUCGUUGUCACAGGAAUCUUCAACCUCCCUCCACCUGCUAAAAUACGUUAGCUGAAUGUGUCCUCUAUCAUUCAAUAAGAUGUUGUUUGGGUUCAAAUCGCGGCACACAAUUCCUUCUCUAUGUAAAGCAUCAAGGGCUACAACCAUUUCAGCUGCCCAUCUUUGAAUGCAGUCCUCUGGGAUAUAAAACCUGGAGGUUAUCGCUAAUCUUUCAUCAAGGUCCUGAAAAAU
rnacentral:lncRNA from 1 species